UAGGGAAUAUUGGACAAUGGGCGCAAGCCUGAUCCAGCCAUGCCGCGUGAGUGAUGAAGGCCUUAGGGUUGUAAAGCUCUUUCACCGGGGAAGAUAAUGACGGUACCCGGAGAAGAAGCCCCGGCUAACUCCGUGCCAGCAGCCGCGGUAAUACGGAGGGGGCUAGCGUUGUUCGGAAUUACUGGGCGUAAAGCGCGCGUAGGCGGUUCGGCAAGUUAGAUGUGAAAGCCCGGGGCUCAACCUCGGAAUUGCAUUUAAAACUGCUGGGCUAGAGGGCGAGAGAGGUGAGUGGAAUUCCCAGUGUAGAGGUGAAAUUCGUAGAUAUUGGGAAGAACACCAGAGGCGAAGGCGGCUCACUGGACCGGUACUGACGCUGAGGCGCGAAAGCGUGGGGAGCAAACAGG
rnacentral:rRNA from 1 species